GUGCUUGCUUCAGCAGCACAUAUACUAAAAUUAGAAUGACACAGAGAUUAGCAUGGCCCCUGCACAAGGAUGACAUGCAAAUUCAUGAAGCACUCUAUAUUUUC